UGGGGAAUAUUGGGCAAUGGGCGAAAGCCUGACCCAGCAACGCCGCGUGAUUGAAGAAGGUCUUCGGAUUGUAAAGAUCUGUCCUUGGGGACGAAAAAAAUGACGGUACCCAAGGAGGAAGCCCCGGCUAACUACGUGCCAGCAGCCGCGGUAAUACGUAGGGGGCGAGCGUUGUCCGGAAUUACUGGGCGUAAAGGGUGCGCAGGCGGUUUUUUAAGUCAGAUGUGAAAUACCCGGGCUUAACCUGGGGGGUGCAUUUGAAACUGGAAGACUUGAGUGCAGGAGAGGAAAGUGGAAUUCCUAGUGUAGCGGUGAAAUGCGUAGAUAUUAGGAGGAACACCAGUGGCGAAGGCGACUUUCUGGACUGUAACUGACGCUGAGGCACGAAAGCGUGGGGAGCAAACAGG
rnacentral:rRNA from 1 species